UAACUCAGUCGGUAGAGAAUCUGCCUGCAGUGCAGGUGACCCGGGUUCAAUCCCUGG
rnacentral:tRNA from 1 species